rnacentral:lncRNA from 1 species
UUUUAUUUAUUGUUUAUAAUGGGAAGAUGUGUCACACAGUGUGGGACAGGCUUGUUUCUGGGAUUUUGUUCAAACUGUGGUAUACAACGUAGGAUUCAGCUGCUGGAGUUUCCCCUCUGCACCAAAAUUUCAUUUGUUUAGAAGCCACUGUUUGCCUGUUUGUGUGUAAUGUAUGUUGUCUUUACAGUGAUCAGACCCUAUGGGUUAUUCUUGCAGAGCCCUUUCUCAGCUCCAGCUGUUGCAAAUGCUCGUCUUUGUUCCCAUAACAGCUCCCAGAGAAGUCUCUCAGUCCUAAGACAUACGCAAGGCCAAACAAGCACUGGAAAAUAUGUUAGAAAGACCUGCAUUUUGAUAGCUCCAGCAUGCUUUCCAUGA